UGGGGCUCACCUAUGACCAUC
rnacentral:siRNA from 1 species